ACGGAAGGCAGCAGUGAGGAAUAUUGGUCAAUGGGCGAGAGCCUGAACCAGCCAAGUCGCGUGAAGGAUGAAUGUAUUAUGUAUUGUAAACUUCUUUUAUACGGGGAUAAAGUGUGUCUUGCGAGGCAUAUUGCAGGUACCGUAAGAAAAAGCAUCGGCUAACUCCGUGCCAGCAGCCGCGGUAAUACGGGGGAUGCGAGCGUUAUUCGGAAUUAUUGGGUUUAAAGGGUGCGUAGGCGGUGACGCAAGUCAGUGGUGAAAUGUCUGGGCUUAACCGAGGAAUUGCCAUUGAAACUGUGUUACUUGAGUGCAUUAAAGGUAGGCGGAAUUUGUUGUGUAGCGGUGAAAUGCAUAGAUAUGACAAAGAACUCCGAUUGCGAAGGCAGCUUACUAGUUUGCGACUGACGCUGAGGCACGAAAGUGUGGGUAUCGAACAGGAUUAGAUACCCUGGUA
rnacentral:rRNA from 1 species